GAUGAACGCUGGCGGCGUGCCUAAUACAUGCAAGUCGAGCGAACGGACGAGAAGCUUGCUUUUCUGAUGUUAGCGGCGGACGGGUGAGUAACACGUGGAUAACCUACCUAUAAGACUGGGAUAACUUCGGGAAAACGGAGCUAAUACCGGAUAAUAUUUUGAACCGCAUGGUUCAAAAGUGAAAGACGGUCUUGCUGUCACUUAUAGAUGGAUCCGCGCUGCAUUAGCUAGUUGGUAAGGUAACGGCUUACCAAGGCAACGAUGCAUAGCCGACCUGAGAGGGUGAUCGGCCACACUGGAACUGAGACACGGUCCAGACUCCUACGGGAGGCAGCAGUAGGGAAUCUUCCGCAAUGGGCGAAAGCCUGACGGAGCAACGCCGCGUGAGUGAUGAAGGUCUUCGGAUCGUAAAACUCUGUUAUUAGGGAAGAACAUAUGUGUAAGUAACUGUGCACAUCUUGACGGUACCUAAUCAGAAAGCCACGGCUAACUACGUG
rnacentral:rRNA from 1 species